AAGGGCGCGUAGGCGGAUUAUCAAGUCUCUUGUGAAAUCCAANGGCUUAACCAUUGAACUGCUUGGGAAACUGAUAAUCUAGAGUGAGGGAGAGGCAGAUGGAAUUGGUGGUGUAGGGGUAAAAUCCGUAGAUAUCACCAAGAAUACCCAUUGCGAAGGCGAUCUGCUGGAACUUAACUGACGCUAAGGCGCGAAAGCGUGGGGAGCAAACAGGAUUAGAUACCCUGGUAGUCCACGCCCUAAACGAUGUAUGCUAGUUGUUGGGGUGCUAGUCAUCUCAGUAAUGCAGCUAACGCAUUAAGCGUACCGCCUGGGGAGUACGGUCGCAAGAUUAAAACUCAAAGGAAUAGACGGGGACCCGCACAAGCGGUGGAGCAUGUGGUUUAAUUCGAAGAUACGCGAAGAACCUUACCUGGGCUUGAUAUCCUAAGAACCUUUUAGAGAUAUGAGGGUGCUAGCUUGCUAGAACUUAGAGACAGGUGCUGCACGGCUGUCGUCAGCUCGUGUCGUGAGAUGUUGGGUUAAGUCCCGCAACGAGCGCAACCCACGUAUUUAGUUGCUAACACUUCGGGUGAGCACUCUAAAUAGACUGCCUUCGUAAGGAGGAGGAAGGUGUGGACGACGUCAAGUCAUCAUGGCCCUUAUGCCCAGGGCGACACACGUGCUACAAUGGCAUAUACAAUGAGACGCAAUACCGCGAGGUGGAGCAAAUCUAUAAAAUAUGUCCCAGUUCGGAUUGUUCUCUGCAACUCGAGAGCAUGAAGCCGGAAUCGCUAGUAAUCGUAGAUCAGCCAUGCUACGGUGAAUACGUUCCCGGGUCU
rnacentral:rRNA from 1 species